rnacentral:rRNA from 1 species
AUGAGCGAGUUAAGCAGCAUGCAGAUGGAGUACUUUCUAACUCAUGACACUGUGAUAGACCCUAGUUUCUGUCGGCUUGUGACUGAAUCUGAUAGAAGGUGCAUCUUGCACAGGCAGAGGCAAGGCAAGUUUGUGGCAUUUGAAGGCACUCACACUGGCGGGAGAUUCAUAGGAUGUGCUACUGAGGAUGGUGUGAACUGUGGUGUUCUGGAGUGGGUAGAUGCCCCUGGCCUGUAA